rnacentral:rRNA from 1 species
UGGAGCCGACCUUGAAAUACCACCCUUUAAUGUUUGAUGUUCUAACGUGGACCCGUAAUCCGGGUUGCGGACAGUGUCUGGUGGGUAGUUUGACUGGGGCGGUCUCCUCCUAAAGAGUAACGGAGGAGCACGAAGGUUGGCUAAUCCUGGUCGGACAUCAGGAGGUUAGUGCAAUGGCAUAAGCCAGCUUGACUGCGAGCGUGACGGCGCGAGCAGGUGCGAAAGCAGGUCAUAGUGAUCCGGUGGUUCUGAAUGGAAGGGCCAUCGCUCAACGGAUAAAAGGUACUCCGGGGAUAACAGGCUGAUACCGCCCAAGAGUUCAUAUCGACGGCGGUGUUUGGCACCUCGAUGUCGGCUCAUCACAUCCUGGGGCUGAAGUAGGUCCCAAGGGUAUGGCUGUUCGCCAUUUAAAGUGGUACGCGAGCUGGGUUUAGAACGUCGUGAGACAGUUCGGUCCCUAUCUGCCGUGGGCGCUGGAGAACUGAGGGGGGCUGCUCCUAGUACGAGAGGACCGGAGUGGACGCAUCACUGGUGUUCGGGUUGUCAUGCCAAUGGCACUGCCCGGUAGCUAAAUGCGGAAGAGAUAAGUGCUGAAAGCAUCUAAGCACGAAACUUGCCCCGAGAUGAGUUCUCCCUGAGACUUAGAGUCUCCUGAAGGAACGUUGAAGACGACGACGUUGAUAGGCCGGGUGUGUAAGCGCAGCGAUGCGUUGAGCUAACCGGUACUAAUGAACCGUGAGGCUUAACCUUACAACGCCGAAG